AUUGAACGCUGGCGGCAGGCCUAACACAUGCAAGUCGAGCGGAUGACGGGAGCUUGCUCCUGGAUUCAGCGGCGGACGGGUGAGUAAUGCCUAGGAAUCUGCCUGGUAGUGGGGGACAACGUUUCGAAAGGAACGCUAAUACCGCAUACGUCCUACGGGAGAAAGCAGGGGACCUUCGGGCCUUGCGCUAUCAGAUGAGCCUAGGUCGGAUUAGCUUGUUGGUGAGGUAAUGGCUCACCAAGGCGACGAUCCGUAACUGGUCUGAGAGGAUGAUCAGUCACACUGGAACUGAGACACGGUCCAGACUCCUACGGGAGGCAGCAGUGGGGAAUAUUGGACAAUGGGCGAAAGCCUGAGCCAGCCAUGCCGCGUGUGUGAAGAAGGUCUUCGGAUUGUAAAGCACUUUAAGUUGGGAGGAAGGGUUGUAGAUUAAUACUCUGCAAUUUUGACGUUACCGACAGAAUAAGCACCGGCUAACUCUGUGCCAGCAGCCGCAGUAAAAC
rnacentral:rRNA from 1 species